rnacentral:rRNA from 1 species
GAUGAACGCUAGCUACAGGCUUAACACAUGCAAGUCGCGGGGCAGCAUGGGGGUUGCUUGCAAUCCCCGAUGGCGACCGGCGCACGGGUGAGUAACGCGUAUCCAACCUGCCCUUCACCACGGGAUAACCCGGCGAAAGUCGGACUAAUACCGUAUGUUGUCCAUUGACGGCAUCCGAUUUGGACGAAAGGCUGGGCGGUGAGGGAUGGGGAUGCGUCCGAUUAGCCAGACGGCGGGGUAACGGCCCACCGUGGCUACGAUCGGUAGGGGUUCUGAGAGGAAGGUCCCCCACACUGGAACUGAGACACGGUCCAGACUCCUACGGGAGGCAGCAGUGAGGAAUAUUGGUCAAUGGGUGUAAGCCUGAACCAGCCAAGUAGCGUGCAGGAUGACGGCCCUAUGGGUUGUAAACUGCUUUUAUGCGGGGAUAAAGUGGCCCACGUGUGGGCUUUUGCAGGUACCGCAUGAAUAAGGACCGGCUAAUUCCGUG